rnacentral:rRNA from 1 species
ACACAGCACUGUGCAAAAUCGUAAGAUGACGUAUACGGUGUGACGCCUGCCCGGUGCCGGCAGGUUAAUUGAUGGGGUUAGAAUUCGGUCGAAGCUCUUGAUCGAAGCCCCGGUAAACGGCGGGCGUAACUAUAACGGUCCUAAGGCAGCGAAAUUCCUUGUCGGGUAAGUUCCGACCUGCACGAAUGGCGUAAUGAUGGCCACGCUGUCUCCACCCGCGACUCAGUGAAAUUGAAAUCGCUGUGAAGAUGCAGUGCACCCGCGGCUAGACGGACAGAGCCCGUGAACUUUUACUACAGCUUGGCACUGAACAUUGACCCUACAUGUGUAGGAUAGGUGGGAGGCUUUGAAGCAAGUACGCCAGUAUUUGUGGAGCCGUCCGUGAAA